UCAGCGGCGGACGGGUGAGUAACGCGUGGGAACGUGCCUUCUGGUCUGGAAUAACCCUGGGAAACUAGGGCUAAUACCGGAUACGCCCUUUUGGGGAAAGGUUUACUGCCGGAAGAUCGGCCCGCGUCUGAUUAGCUAGUUGGUGGGGUAACGGCCUACCAAGGCGACGAUCAGUAGCUGGUCUGAGAGGAUGAUCAGCCACACUGGGACUGAGACACGGCCCAGACUCCUACGGGAGGCAGCAGUGGGGAAUAUUGGACAAUGGGCGCAAGCCUGAUCCAGCCAUGCCGCGUGAGUGAUGAAGGCCUUAGGGUUGUAAAGCUCUUUUAUCCGGGACGAUAAUGACGGUACCGGAGGAAUAAGCCCCGGCUAACUUCGUGCCAGCAGCCGCGGUAAUACGAAGGGGGCUAGCGUUGCUCGGAAUCACUGGGCGUAAAGGGCGCGUANGCGGCGUUUUAAGUCGGGGGUGAAAGCCUGUGGCUCAACCACAGAAUGGCCUUCGAUACUGGGACGCUUGAGUAUGGUAGAGGUUGGUGGAACUGC
rnacentral:rRNA from 1 species